rnacentral:tRNA from 1 species
GCUCCCGUAGCUCAGCCAGGACAGAGCAGCGGCUUUCUAAUCCGCAGCGCGCAGGUUCGAAUCCUGCCGGGGGCG